CAUGCAAGUCGAGGGGCAGCAUGGUCUUAGCUUGCUAAGGCCGAUGGCGACCGGCGCACGGGUGAGUAACGCGUAUCCAACCUGCCUUACACUCUUGGACAGCCUUCUGAAAGGGAGAUUAAUACAAGAUGUUAUCAUGAGUAAGCAUUUUCGCAUGAUUAAAGGUUUACCGGUGUAAGAUGGGGAUGCGUUCCAUUAGAUAGUAGGCGGGGUAACGGCCCACCUAGUCUUCGAUGGAUAGGGGUUCUGAGAGGAAGGUCCCCCACAUUGGAACUGAGACACGGUCCAAACUCCUACGGGAGGCAGCAGUGAGGAAUAUUGGUCAAUGGACGAGAGUCUGAACCAGCCAAGUAGCGUGAAGGAUGAAGGUUCUAUGGAUUGUAAACUUCUUUUAUACGGGAAUAAACGGAUCCACGCGUGGAUUUUUGCAUGUACCGUAUGAAUAAGGAUCGGCUAACUCCGUGCCAGCAGCCGCGGUAAUACGGAGGAUCCGAGCGUUAUCCGGAUUUAUUGGGUUUAAAGGGAGCGUAGAUGGGUUGUUAAGUCAGUUGUGAAAGUUUGCGGCUCAACCGUAAAAUUGCAAUUGAUACUGGCAGUCUUGAGUACAGUUGAGGUAGGCGGAAUUCGUGGUGUAGCGGUGAAAUGCUUAGAUAUCACGAAGAACUCCGAUUGCGAAGGCAGCUUACUAACCUGUAACUGACAUUGAUGCUCGAAAGUGUGGGUAUCAAACAGGAUUAGAUACCCUGGUAGUCCACACGGUAAACGAUGAAUACUCGCUGUAGGCGAUAUACAGUCUGCGGCCAAGCGAAAGCAUUAAGUAUUCCACCUGGG
rnacentral:rRNA from 1 species